rnacentral:lncRNA from 1 species
GCCUCUUUGUCUGCUCUGGGACUUGGAACAAAAGGGGAAACUCUGAUGAACUCCUUCUCCAGCUCCCUGGACGCCCGAGUAUCUCUUUCUCGCAACUUUGUCAACGCGACUUUCUCCGCUGUCAGGCUGCGCAAAAGUAUCCUAGCGCCUCGCAGGCUGCAACAAUGGAAACAAUGUCCCUUCAAAGUGCGACGAAGUGGAGGGAGAAGGUGUCAUACCAGCGACUCCAAGAGUCAUGUCACCCACUUAGCAGGAGUACUUCUACUGAAAUGCCUUCGAAUUUCUCUUACUGGAUAUAUACCUACCAGCCGCUAGCAUGAAGAUGCCAGGACCGCUGCAAGUUAGCACUGGACAAAGUAGCAUCAACUUCUUCAUUUAGAGUUUCUUCAGUUAAAUUGCUGGGAUUUUCGACAAGGCUUUCCUUAUGUGGAUUAUUGGAGUGUGAUGCCCGAGAAUUCUCUACUUGUAGAAGCACGCCCACGGGACUGCAGAAGCCUUCACACCCACCCAGCACGCUCAGGGUUGAUGGCCUAACACUGGCUUAACACUCAUGUCGGCUGCACUAAUUGAAGUCACAUCCAAGUGGGUCAAUGCACUGAACAUAUCUGAUAUAGAAGGUCCCAGAUCCUGAAUUUUUAUCAAUGGUUUGCUGUAUAAGGCUUGCCUCCCAAAUAGCUGAGGACCCUUAUUUGGGAAGAUACGUUCUGAUGGUUAAGCAACAGCACAGAUGUCGAUGGGAAUGAGUGAUGGCCAUCCAGUGACCAGCUGGAUCUGACUGCCUUACAAGACGCAUGUGUAUGAUUAAGAGAGAGACAUUCGUGACUCCCAGAUGUACCUCCUUCCUGUCCCACAGUGUUCCUGAAGGGAGUGAGUUAUGGGGUAACUUAUAACACAGCAGGCUCUUCCUCAAGAUAGCUCUUGUCAAAACAGGAAGACGAAACUCGGGUUUCCAUGAGGAGACCACAGCUUGGGAUCCUGUCUGGAUGUACAAGCAGAAGCAUCUUCAUACUUUUCCAUUUCUAACCAUCAUGCCUCACCCCACCCUCCCAAGGCGACAUCUGCAGAGAGGUGGAACCAUCUAGGGAGGCCUGCCACUGUUUGCUGAGCUCCGGGUGAGGAUGAAGACACUUUGACAUGGCCAGCUUCAGACUCGGGAUCUGUCGGUGUUAGCAGCCGAAGGGAGGAGGAGAAAGAGGAGGAGGAAGUAAGACAGAGGGGGACAAGAGGACCAAGAGGGCACAUGGCUGAGGAGGAGGAGAACAACAACAACAACAACAACAACAACAACAACAAGAAGCUUGGUGGUGAAACUUGGAAGCCCUCUCCAGGAUGCAGCAGGUAGCUGAGGAGAAAACGAAGACUGACCAGCCCAGAGCUCAGAGCUUCCUCCCAUGCUCAGGAUUUACCACCAAUGCCAUUACAUCGGCCUCUUCUUGUAUGCCUCUGGAAACCACAUGUGUCCUCUGUUUGUAAUGGUUUGGCUAUGGUUGCUGGCCCCUCUUGGACAUUGUUUUCAGAACUUAAAGAAACAUUGCUUUAAAGAUUUAUUAGAACAUAUUUAAAAUAAAACCAUCUUCUCAUUUAGUAU